AUGACCAUCUCCUCCGAGGGUGGUCUCUCCCUGUGCCGCAUCAGCGCUAGGGUGCAAGCUAAGAAGAAAGUGGGGUUUGCCACGUCUAUGGCAAAGGAGGCGCAGGGGCUGGUUUGUCGCUCGAUCGGCAUCAUCCGCGACGGAGAAGACGUAACUGCCAGGGCUCUGGAUCAGUUCGAGCUGCAAUUCAAAGACCAGCUGCCAGAAAAUAUCAUGCAUGCGCUACGAGGCCUCUUCAAGAUUGAUGAUGCUCAUGCUGCUAGCGUGGAAGAGGCUCUCAUCAGUCAUGGAGGUGCUGCUGCGCUGGACCACGAUGAGGAGGCUGUGGCUUGA
rnacentral:rRNA from 1 species